rnacentral:rRNA from 1 species
AUGAGCGACGGCAAGGCCAACCUCGACCUCUCCACCCUCGGUGCCGCCAUCCUGCUCCCGCUUUCGUGCUUGUUCCACGAGUCCUUCAACGAGGGCUUCGAGGGGAGCAGGACCGUCUCCGACAAGGAAGAGUAUGCAGGUGUAUGGAAGCACGAGAAGAGUGAUGGCCAUGAAGACUAUGGUCUCCUUGUUAGCGAGCCUGCCAAGAUAUAUGCCAUAGUCAAUGAGCUUGAUAGUCCUGUUACUUUGAAGGAUGGGAUAGUUGUCCUGCAAUUCGAAGUGAGGCUUCAGAAUGGCCAUACUAUGAUUGGCUUACUCUUCAUGUCUUAA